UGCUUGCUCUCCCCCAGGUCUCAUGUAAUAUGGAUGAAGAUGAGUCUAGCAUUUGUGAUUGGUUUGUUGUCUGGCACUCAGACGAUGUUGUGUGUGCUUCACCCACCUAGGGGUUGGAGCCAGUAUAAAGAUAGAAAGAAGGCCCUAUUUUCUCUUCUGUUUUGCUUUUGCUGUUUGCAACAGCCAUGAAUGUCUGCCCUGCCGUGCCACCCUGCCUUGAAGCCCGCUGAGUAUGGACUGAAACCUCCAAGAACUGUCUGACGAGGCAAUUCUUACUCCGCUCUUGGUUUUCUUCAAAAUUGGAACCUCCUGGAGCCUAUGCAGUGUUCCACAGCAUGUUGAAAUCUUGCCAAGGAAGAGGCUGACUUGCCCCUAAGAAAGCCAGUGUGGGUUUAACUUGCCUCUCGUGAUCCCUUCUAAAGGAUGACUUUAGCUGUCUGAGAAUGCUGAUAUAAACCAGAUAUCUCAGCCAGCACAGAAGGAUCUGUUUGAAUACCUCUGUGAAACCUUCCAGGGAGACAUGAGAUACAGUAGAACUUGAAUAAUGCUCGAGCUGAUUCUCUUCAAAUGAGUACUUUGAGAAACUGAUGUGGAGCUGCCAGGGGAGAAAAUAGAUCAGUUAAGGAGAAGAAAGCCGGAAUGCAUAGUGAGUAUCUUCUGACAUUCACUGAGUCAGAAAUUGAUUACAGCACCUAUCCUGGAUGUGACACUUCAAGACAUGUCUACAAAUUCCUUGACACUCUUCACAAAAAGUGUAAUACAAUAAUUCCUCAAAACAUGAAUUUGAAUCAAUGUGAAAUGACUCACUCUUAAUGAACAGAAUAUCAUAUAAAUUCUGUACAGUUACCAAACCUUUCUCUCGCUAAUCCUUGGAUUUUGGGAACCCUGCACCUCCGUGGAAUAAGUGCAGAUCUUCGGAAUUUAAUGUGCUUUGGUAACAGUGUUAAGAUACAGAAUUGAAUCCAUGGAAUCCAGCUGUUCUGCUUCACAGCUGUUCAAGUCCAGGCGCCAGCAUGGGACAGAGUGAGGGUUUGUGUAUUUCAGCCCCCCGCCUUUGAGCUACCCCAGCUGACAGUAAGAAGGUCAGAAAACCUUCCCUCUGCUUGGACUGUCAAUAGCUACACAAAAGUUAUGCUACACAGUAGAAGCCCCUCAAGGCUCCAGAGUUGUUUCAGAGCCACAGCACUUGGACCACUGUCACACGCGGCCCAGCCGAGUCUCUAAAACGUUGGCCUUUAUUGUCACAGAACUAAGAAGUACAGAGCUGGAAGCUGAAUCCUUUCAUCAUACUGCCUGGGUCGAUAAGUUCCCUUGAAGCACUGACUCAGGAUCCCUCAUUCUCCCAGUAUUUUCUGCUAUGAUAUACUCAGAAUGCAUUAUUAACACAAACAUGCUGGUUCUACCAUUUACAAAGCUGAGAUUCCAUUGUCAAAUCUCUAUGUAACGAAACUAGGAUGCUGAAGUAAUGAAUACAUAGGACCAAUGUAAUAAAUAGUGACAAUCAUUUGUAAUUUAAUUCUUUAGACUCAUAGAGGUUGAUCUUUAGACAUUCUAAUGUAGACGUGCUGCUCAACCCUUCAAUAAAAGAAAUUCAUGUCUUCUCCCUUUUAAGCAGUGACUGAUUUCCCCAAUAAUAUGUGGAGGAAGCAGUGUUCUAGGAAUUCGUAGCUGCGGGGUCUGCUCUUAGCUUCUUGAAAUUCAGUUAUUUUAGGCAGCCAUUAGAAAGUACAAAAUGGCACUAGGGAUGUGAUGUCUUGUCACUAAACUGCCCCAUGAAAUCUCCAUUCUAAGGUGGGGUCUCAUCAGAAGGGGCCGCGGGUCAUGACUGGGAAGUAUGUUUUCUCAUCCUUCUUUCUCUCUCUCCUUCCUGGUUGCCAUGCAGUGAGCAGCUUUCCCUCCUCAUGCCCUCUACCAUGCUUUUCCUACCUUGGAGCAAGAUGACUAUGGAUUAAUUUCAUAGAAUUUGAGCUAAAAACUAAACAAACAAACCUCCAGUAAAUUGCAGGUAUUAGAAAUUUGGUCCAAGUAACAGUAAAAUGGCUAAGACUACAAGAUAAUUUAUACAACAUUUUAUUUCUUCCUGUGCUAGAGGCUAGGAAGCGUAAGGGUGAGGUGCGAGGGUGAGGCAGGUCCUUCUGAACUCACAUGACUACUCUUCUCAUGGUCCCACAGGGAAGAAAGAGAGAGAACCCUGCAUGCACUUACCAAAGCACUCAUCUGCUUAGGGACACAUUCUCAUGCUGUAACUCUCAAUGACUCAUCUCCUGAAAUCUCAUGCUAGACAUUUAGGUUGAAAAUGUGAAUUUUAAAGAGUUAUAUAAACUUUUCAUAGAAUCUACAUAUCAGGGGCCCAAAUUAGGCAUCCCAAAAUGAUGGUCACAUGACAAUGACAUGUAGAGUAAUUUACCAUGUGCAGAGAGAGGCCAAAUAGAGGAUGCUUGGGAGAAAAGCACCAGCCCAGGCACCAUCCAAACUGAGACAUGUGAGGGAAAGCAAGUCAGGCUGGCUGAGCCCUGGCCAGUCCUUGGAUGGUGAAAUAAGUGCGAUGGUAAUUGCUUUAAAUUUCAGUGUUUUGAAGUGCUUGUAAACAGGACAGUAGUUAAUCAGUAUAUCAACACUGUAAUAUAAGUAAGAAGCAAGACUAUCACUAUGUAUCAAGUGAUUAAUAGGAAUAAAUUCUGAAAUAGAAA